UUUUGGGCCUUCUUUUUUGAAAAUGGCAUCCACAAAUCCAAAGAAGGUAUCUGAGUUUGAACAUAUCUUCACAUCAAAGAAAGAAUGUAUUGAAAAUAGGGAAUCAAUAACACAAGAUGAGAUGGUUAAUACAUAUGAUGAAUGGGUGGAGAAAAAUACAUAUGAAUCGGAUAUGGAAGCUAGGAGUUAUUAUGGUCCUCAGUUAACUGCUGAUACAGCUGCUCUCAUGUUCCCAGAACGUAGAGACAAUGUUCGAAUCGUAGACAUGGCUGCUGGUACCGGACUGAUUGCUGCUGGGAUUGGGUUGAUGCUGGUGAAAACCCGAAGAACCAAAAGACUCGUGAUCGGGUGUGACCCUUCGGGGACAGAUGAGAAAACAUGGAUUUAAACACAUUGAUGCCGUAGACCCUUGUUCCGCAGCCAAGAAAGUUGCUAUGGAUAGAGGUUUAUAUGAAAACUAUAUAUUAGAUUUUGUUGAUGACCGAAGAUUAGAUAUCAAGACAGAUGACUAUGAUGGUCUAGUUUGUGCUGGGGCAUUUACACCAGGUCUAAUGCCUUCCAUAGCUUUACGAGAAUUUAUCAGAGUUGUGAAACCAGGUGGAUAUGUAUGUUUCUGUGCACCUGAAUUUAUAAUUCGAUUAAGUAAAGAUCAUCGGGACAAUUUUGAGCCUUUAAUGGAAAAGUAUGUACAAGAGGGUGCCUGGGAAAACGUCCUGAGAACAGUUAUACCAUGUUAUUUUGAUCAUAAACCAGGUUUAUUGUAUGUCUUCAAAGUUUUAAAGUCAGAAGUUGAGCUAUGAAACAAAAAUCAAUUGAAAUCUUUUGUUUUAACCAUUUUAUCUGUAUUUACUGAGAACCUGAAGAUCUAAUUAAUUAGAUAUAUAUAUAUUUCAACAUACAUUAUGCAAGAGCUAAAUCUGCCUAUUGCAAAUCUUUCUUUAGGCCUAAAAUGUUAUCUAAAUUAUUAAUUAGACAUUAAUUAACUUAUUCAGACCAUAAACAACUCUCGAAGUCAUCACUAGCCUGCAAUAUUUACUGGAUUAGGGUCCGAUUUGCUGCUCAACUUCCAUUCAUGAUUUAUUUCAUGAACUGGAUAAUCGAGACUAUGUUUUUUCAUCGUAUCGACUUUAGUAAUGAUGGUCGAGGCUAGGUCGAAUAUUCAAUCGCUAAAUUAUCGGUUCAGAGUGGAUCAAUUUGACUGAAAUUUUCAGCAAAUUCCCUUUACAUUAUCUAGUUUUUAACUAUUACUGUGAGAACGCCAACUCUUUACGUAAUCUC